AUGGCAUUGGCAAUUCAACAUUCAAACCUUCCGGUGGUUUUGCAGUCGGAUUCUUCGGAGGCCUUGUCUAGCGUGUCUAAUGCUGCGUUGGUUCGUUCAGCUUAUGGCCAUUUAGUUCUUGAGAUUAAGGAUCUUCUUGGUAGUAGGGAGUUUGUUCCUCAAAAAAUUAGUCAUACUCAGAAUAGAGUUGCCGAUUGGUUGGCCAAUUAUAGCCGAUCUGAACGAGCUACCGCGGUGUGGCCUGGCUCGGUACCACCUUGUAUUGAGGAUUUGUGGCCUCUUGAAUGUAACUCUAUGAACUUGCAAUAA
rnacentral:rRNA from 1 species